AAUAAUAACUCAAAUUAAUCAUAUUUAAGAUUAUUGAAGUUCUCGGAUAAGGAAACUUGGACUCUUCAAAGGAAUCGGAGACAAUGAUUCUUGAUUGGAUUGGAAAAUUCUUCAGAUACUGGAUUAAUUGGAUCAGGAACUAGUUAAUUUUCUUUUUUAUUAUUAAAGAUUUCAACGUUCAGCCUCAAAAAUAUAUUAAAAUUUUUAAUCUACGGAUUUUCGUCGAAUUCUUCGUUAAAACUCCCAUAUGAUGAAUGGUUUUCGUUCUUGACAUGCUAAGAUGAUCGUUUUCGAUAGUUUUAACCAGACAAAUAUUAAUUACAAGAAGAAAUUAAUGAAAAAUGAAAUUUGAGGUUAUGUCACUGUCAAAAUUCUACAAAAUUACUUCGUAUCGAUUUUACAUGGAUUAAAUACAAUAAAGAACGUAAACGGUCAAUGAAUUUUAACAUAUUUACAACAUUUUAUUAAUACAAAAAGAAAUUUCUAUAAUUAUUAUUCGUAACCUCACACACGAUUAUGCAAAAGUUAAGAAAAAAUAAACGUUUUACUUAAUUAAA
rnacentral:lncRNA from 1 species